UAGGGGAUACUGUUUGGGCUUGGGACCGGGAGAGGUGAGAGGUACCUUGGGGGUAGGGGUGAAAUCUUGUGAUCCCCGGGGGACCACCAGUGGCGAAGGCGUCUCACCAGAACGGGUCCGACGGUAAGGGACGAAAGCUAGGGGCACGAACCGGAUUAGAUACCCGGGUAGUCCUAGCCGUAAACGAUGCUCGCUAGGUGUCAGUCACGGUGCGACCGUGAUUGGUGCCGUAGGGAAGCCGUGAAGCGAGCCACCUGGGAAGUAUGGCCGCAAGGCUGAAACUUAAAGGAAUUGGCGGGGGAGCACUACAACGGGUGGAGCCUGCGGUUUAAUUGGAUUCAACGCCGGAAAUCUCACCGGGGGCGACAGCGAUAUGAAGGUCAGGCUGAAGACCUUACCGGAUUAGCUGAGAGGUGGUGCAUGGCCGUCGUCAGUUCGUACUGUGAAGCAUCCUGUUAAGUCAGGCAACGAGCGAGACCCACGUCCACAGUUGCCAGCAUACCCUCCGGGGUGAUGGGUACACUGUGGAGACCGCCGCUGCUAAAGCGGAGGAAGGAGUGGGCAACGGUAGGUCAGUAUGCCCCGAAUCUCCCGGGCUACACGCGGGCUACAAUGGUUGGUACAAUGGGCAUCUACCCCGAAAGGGGAAGGUAAUCUCUUAAAGCCAAUCGUAGUUCGGAUUGAGGGCUGCAACUCGCCCUCAUGAAGCUGGAAUCCGUAGUAAUCGCGUUUCAACAGAACGCGGUGAAUACGUCCCUGCUCCUUGCACACACCGC
rnacentral:rRNA from 1 species